rnacentral:tRNA from 2 species
GGGGAUGUGGCUCAAUGGUAGAACACUUGCCUAGCAUGUAGGAAACCCUGGGUUUGAACCUCAGCAUUGCCA